UACAGAGGUGGCAAGCGUUGUUCGGAAUUACUGGGCGUAAAGGGCGCGUAGGCGGCCUGCUAAGUCAGACGUGAAAUCCCCCGGCUUAACCUGGGAACUGCGUCUGAUACUGGGAGGCUAGAGUAUGGGAGAGGGAUGUAGAAUUCCAGGUGUAGCGGUGAAAUGCGUAGAUAUCUGGAGGAAUACCGGUGGCGAAGGCGGCAUCCUGGACCAUAACUGACGCUGAGGCGCGAAAGCUAGGGGAGCAAACGGG
rnacentral:rRNA from 1 species